UACGAAGGGGGCUAGCGUUGUUCGGAGUUACUGGGCGUAAAGGGCGCGUAGGCGGCGCAUCAAGUCAGGCGUGAAAGCCCUGGGCUCAACCCGGGAACCGCGCUUGAGACUGGCAUGCUCGAGUUCGGGAGAGGAUGGUGGAAUUCCCAGUGUAGAGGUGAAAUUCGUAGAUAUUGGGAAGAACACCGAUGGCGAAGGCAGCCAUCUGGACCGACACUGACGCUGAGGCGCGAAAGCGUGGGGAGCAAACAGG
rnacentral:rRNA from 1 species